rnacentral:rRNA from 1 species
CCUAACACAUGCAAGUCGAACGGUAGCACAGAGGAGCUUGCUCCUUGGGUGACGAGUGGCGGACGGGUGAGUAAUGUCUGGGAAACUGCCCGAUGGAGGGGGAUAACUACUGGAAACGGUAGCUAAUACCGCAUAACGUCGCAAGACCAAAGAGGGGGACCUUCGGGCCUCUUGCCAUCGGAUGUGCCCAGAUGGGAUUAGCUAGUAGGUGGGGUAACGGCUCACCUAGGCGACGAUCCCUAGCUGGUCUGAGAGGAUGACCAGCCACACUGGAACUGAGACACGGUCCAGACUCCUACGGGAGGCAGCAGUGGGGAAUAUUGCACAAUGGGCGCAAGCCUGAUGCAGCCAUGCCGCGUGUAUGAAGAAGGCCUUCGGGUUGUAAAGUACUUUCAGCGAGGAGGAAGGCGUUGUGGUUAAUAACCGCAACGAUUGACGUUACUCGCAGAAGAAGCACCGGCUAACUCCGUGCCAGCCGCCGCGGUAA